rnacentral:lncRNA from 1 species
UUUUACGUCGGCCUUCGCGAGCGUCUGGGCGGGUGGUAGGUGAGUGGGUAUUGCGGGCUAGUAUCCGAGCAAAAGAUGGUGGCGCAGGCCGAGUUAAGAGCUUUAAUCCUGUGAAGACAUCUUAGUGAAGAGUUUAGAGUGCUGAGAGUUGAAAGCUUGCACGUGGGAAACGUGCGGCCGGACUGCCACAUGUACUGAGGUUGAGUCGUGACGGCCACAGGCUCCGAGUUUUGGCGUGAGGAACCGCUGAUCGGCCACGGGCGCCGAACUUGCUGGCCUCCGGCAUGUGCCUGAGCGGCGGCGGAAAAACCACCUUAAUUGGGGCGGAGGGUUAGUUUUAACAGCAAAGGGCCUUUACUAAAAUGGCGAAGGCCUUCCGUCGGCGUUGUUUUAAAAUGGGAAGCCUCGACCCUGUAUUGAAACUGAGCUGUUCGAAGGCGGCGUUGUGUGCAAUUCGGAUUAAUGAAGGGGAAGGGUUUUGUGUGGAAAAACGCCUUGGAGUGUGACAUUUCUGCGAGAAUGCUUAAAUACCGAUUUCCCGCAGGAACAAUGGCGCUGUCUUCAGUGGCACAGUGGAGCAGCUCUGAAGAUGCAAAGAUACACGAAAAAACUUCCAGAACAUCUGGGAGAAUAUUUAAUGGAAAAUCGCUUGGUUAAAACCUGACACUUUUAACAGUUAGUUGAAUCCAUGGACAUGAAACCCACAGAUAUAGAGGGUUGGCCCGGUGCAGUGGCUCACGCCUGUAAUCCCAGCACUUUGGGAGGCCAAGGCGGGUGGAUCACCUGAGGUCAGAAGCUUGAGACCAGCCUGGCCAACAUGGGUACUGCUUUCUCUUGCUGCAGCUUGCUUCCUCCCUCAGGUAUGAAGUUAAGGUAACAUGAAGGAGGAUAUUGAAUGUUCCUAACACAAAGAAAUGAUAAAUGUUUGAGAUGGUGGAUGUACUAAUUGCCCUGAUCUGAUGACUAUACAUUAUAUAUAUUGAAACAUCAGUAUGUACCCCAUGAAUAUGUACAAUUAUAUGUCAACUUAAACACAUUUAAAAGUAAAAAAAAAAAAAUCCAAAA